rnacentral:rRNA from 1 species
CCUUUCCCUCACGGUACUGGUUCACUAUCGGUCAGUCAGGAGUAUUUAGCCUUGGAGGAUGGUCCCCCCAUAUUCAGACAGGAUACCACGUGUCCCGCCCUACUCAUCGAGCUCACAGCAUGUGCAUUUUUGUGUACGGGGCUGUCACCCUGUAUCGCGCGCCUUUCCAGACGCUUCCACUAACACACACACUGAUUCAGGCUCUGGGCUGCUCCCCGUUCGCUCGCCGCUACUGGGGGAAUCUCGGUUGAUUUCUUUUCCUCGGGGUACUUAGAUGUUUCAGUUCCCCCGGUUCGCCUCAUUAACCUAUGGAUUCAGUUAAUGAUAGUGUGUCGAAACACACUGGGUUUCCCCAUUCGGAAAUCGCCGGUUAUAACGGUUCAUAUCACCUUACCGACGCUUAUCG